rnacentral:lncRNA from 1 species
GCGGCGGUGGUCGAGGAGUCUACCACCUUGCGCGCCACCGUUUUCUGCUCCACGGACCUUCUCACACCAGCCGCCGCCGCCGCUGCCGCAGCGUAUCCCCUCCUGGAUGAAUCGAACGGAGCAGGAGUAAGUAAUGGUCCAAUUAUAGAUUAUAGAUUAUAGAUAGAUGAUGAUGAUUGGUAUAUCAGUUACCGGUUAACCAAGAGGGCGAUGUUUUGAGAGACGGACGCAGCGAGAGCAGCAGCACUAGAGAGAGAGCGAGCCAUCUGCCCUCUUCGUUUUAUCACCUUAAUUUCUCUAGCUAGUAGAAAGAAAGAGAAGAGAUGGACGAACAGGAAGAGGUCCUUCUCUUCGUGUUGUUGUGCUCCUCUCUCUCUUUCUCUCUCUCUCCUUCUAUCCUCCCUACCUUGGCCUGUUUGGUUUGGGGAUGAAGUGAGACCGAAUGCCAAGGUGUUUAUUUAUAGCAACAGCUGUGAACCGGAAAUGGCUGUGUAUGUGUUUUGUGUGGGAGGAAACGAAGCCGUGGGGCGGGUUAUCACCCAGUAGUAUCUCUUUGGCUCUUCCGCAUCGCCACGAGCCGCUGUUUCCUUUAAUUAAUUCCCCGAGAGAGAGAGAGAGAGAGAGCUGUGUGGUCCGGAGAAUUCGACCUCCGCCAUCUUGCCUUUGAAAAAUCUUCUGCGCCGCAGCUGCUGACAGGCAGACUCCUCUGCUCAGCUGCUGACAGGCAGUCAGGUGGAUGUCAACUUCUACAAGAUAUUCCAGUGGCUUGUUUAAAUGGAUUCCCUGUCCAACUUUUUGGUUUGGGGAAGAACUCUAGAUACUAUCAAAGUAUCAAUCUAAUUGUGAUCUGAUCACUUGGUAUCGUGCUCCAUCAAUCUAACUGCUAAGAUAUAAAAUGUAGUUUGGUCGGAGACACCUGUCGAGAAAACAGAUCAUGCACUGAUUUCUUCUUGGAUUUGCAGACAAUUCAAGCAGUUGUAGAAAGAGAGAUGAGAUGAGCCGGUUGGAGAGGGGGAUUGAUGGAACCCUAUUUGUUCUACCGUCAACAAGUGGCUGGUGGAUUGAGUGCCAAGAACAUUAUCUUUAGUAUCAAAACAACGAGAGCUUUUAGGCUAGUGGAUUUUGAGUGCCACGAACACCACAUGCAAACAUUAUCCUUAGUAUCAGAACAACGAUAGCUUUUUGAGGAUGAAGAGUAUGGCAUCACUAAUUAUCUUUAUCGAGGUGUCUAAAAGUAAGUUAAUGGUAUCAUUGCGUAAGUGAUAAAUCUCAUGCAUAUUGUUUUCAUCUGACUUCUUUCCCUUUUAGUUUUGCUCUGUUCUGAUAAUAAAACUGUGGCUUUGUCUUAGAUUACGAGGGGAGAAGAAGUAGAUGCUUAAAGAGACAAGCUCCUCAAACAAAGCCAGUCAAACUUAAUUACAUGAGUAAGUCAAUUUGGUAUCUCAAGUAUAGAACACUUUGGGCUUCUCUGCUGGAGUUGGAGUAGGUCGUUUAAUCGAGCUCGUUUCUUUGCUGAUGCCAUUUGCAUUCCCAGACAAUAUCUUCAUUAAAUCAUUCUAAAGGAAAAAAGAAGAAACAAUUAGUAGCAUAGAACCAAUAAAGCUUCGUAUCGCAGAAACCACUCCUACGAAGUCUUAGUGCUUGCCAUUUGUUCAUUUUCGUGUGUAUAUAUACAACGCCAACUUUAAAAGCUUCUGUCUAUUGAUUUUCCUCAAAAUAGAUCUAGAGAUAAUGAGAGAUUAGAUAAAAAGAAAAAGGGUGUAAUAAGGAGAGUUAUGUUUGAGUUUAGGAUAAUUUAAGAAAAUUUAUAAUUUAAUCUCACAUGAUGAAAAUUUUAAUUAUCUCUAUAAAAAAAAUAAAAAGGGUCCAACUACUUAAAUCUUUUAUCCAUCUUUAUAAUUUUUGUUUGAUUUUUGAUCUAUGAA